GUUCGACAGGCUGGAACAUAUUUGCCUCAGUCCUAUUUGAUUCAUGAACAGAUGAUUGUUACUGAUCGCAUUGAAAAUGUAGAUCAGCUGGGAUUCUUUAUUUACCGCCUCUGCCGUGGCAAGGAAACCUAUAAACUACAGCGCAAAGAAGCCAUGAAAGGAAUUCAGAAGCGUGAAACCAUCAAUUGCCGAAAGAUUCGACACUUUGAGAACAGGUUUGCUAUGGAAACACUCAUCUGUGAACAGUAAUGAGGAAUAUUACUGUUACAGGAGACUUAAAAACUACAGUAUGACCCCACCCUUUGUGUUGUGUGCAGUGAUCAUUUUUUUAAAUCUUCUUUUAUGUAAGUAGUGGACAGGGCUUUAUUGCUGAACACCUUUUUCAUCUCAUGAUACGUGUAAAAUCAAUAUGUUUUAGUUUUUUCCUUAUUUUCAGGUGUGGUGUUCUUCUUAUAUUUGAAUAGCAGUUGCAUAAAGACUUAGUUGCUAGUGCAUUUCAUGUGAUGAAUCUUGAAUACUAGGAAGAGAAAGUCUUUGAAAUAUCCACCAGUUUUUAAUUAAGUAAAAUUGAAAAGAAUUAUUAAUGUACAAAUGGACUGCAAGAGCUACUUCUAACUGUAAUAUUACCUGCUAUAUAGUUUGUUACAGCAUAUAGACAAACCUGUAUUUGACUCUCCCUAACAAAGUGCAAUUUGUUUCGUUUUUAAAAUAUUGUCAUAUUUACCUUUUUAGAUUGAUUUCUGACUUGAUGUUUUAAAAUGGCAAGUGUUUGCUGUAACAAUCUUUUAGAAAAUUAAGAAGUAACUUAUGUUACUAACUUGUAUAUAAUCCAUGUAUGUGCAAUGGAAAAUAAACCUUAUAAACCUGUUUGUCUAAAA